rnacentral:rRNA from 1 species
UACGUAGGGGGCUAGCGUUGUCCGGAAUCAUUGGGCGUAAAGAGCGUGUAGGCGGCCCGGUAAGUCCGCUGUAAAAGUCAAAGGCUCAACCUUUGAAUGUCAGUGGAUACUGCCGGGCUAGAGUCCGGAAGAGGCGAGUGGAACUCCUGGUGUAGCGGUGGAAUGCGCAGAUAUCAGGAAGAGCACCAACGGCGAAGGCAGCUCGCUAGGACGGUACUGACGCUGAGACGCGAAAGCGUGGGGAGCGAACAGG